CGUCGUGCCUGUUCGGGUCUCAUGAAUGGACGUCCCGCGAAGACCACAGUUGGCCUCUGCAUCUUUCGGAAGAGAGAUGUGGGUGGUUCGUUAAACCGUGGGAAACCGGGCGAGAUUGGAAACAGAGUAGCCUCACUCACAGCUGUGCGUUGGUCGUACGGGAUAGCGCCCAUUCCUCGGAUAG
rnacentral:SRP_RNA from 1 species